CGCACGAUGGCUUAGUGGUUAGCAUGUUCGGCUCAUACCCCUCCAGGGUCUGGGGUUCGAUUCCCGCCAGUGCCG